rnacentral:rRNA from 1 species
UACAGGGGGGGCAAGCGUUGUUCGGAAUUACUGGGCGUAAAGGGCUUGUAGGUGGCCAACUAAGUCACACGUGAAAUCCCCAGGCUUAACCUGGGAACUGCGUGUGAUACUGGAUGGCUUGAAUCCGGGAGAGGGAUGCGGAAUUCCAGGUGUAGCGGUGAAAUGCGUAGAUAUCUGGAGGAACACCGGCGGCGAAGGCGGCAUCCUGGACCGGUAUUGACACUGAAAAGCGAAAGCCAGGGGAGCAAACGGG